rnacentral:rRNA from 1 species
UUCCAGACUCCUACGGGAGGCAGCAGUGGGGAAUAUUGGGCAAUGGGCGCAAGCCUGACCCAGCAACGCCGCGUGAAGGAAGAAGGCUUUCGGGUUGUAAACUUCUUUUGUCAGGGACGAAGCAAGUGACGGUACCUGACGAAUAAGCCACGGCUAACUACGUGCCAGCAGCCGCGGUAAUACGUAGGUGGCAAGCGUUAUCCGGAAUUAUUGGGUGUAAAGGGUGCGUAGACGGAAGAACAAGUUGGUUGUGAAAUCCCUCGGCUCAACUGAGGAACUGCAACCAAAACUAUUCUCCUUGAGUGUCGGAGAGGAAAGCGGAAUUCCUAGUGUAGCGGUGAAAUGCGUAGAUAUUAGGAAGAACACCAGUGGCGAAGGCGGCUUUCUGGACUGAAACUGACGCUGAGGCACGAAAGCGUGGGGAGCGAACAGGAUUAGAUACCCGCGUA